rnacentral:rRNA from 1 species
GACGUAGGGGGCGAGCGUUGUCCGGAUUCAUUGGGCGUAAAGCGCGCGUAGGCGGCCCGGUAAGUCGGAUGUGAAAUCUCACGGCUCAACCGUGGAACUGCAUUCGAAACUGUCGGGCUAGAGGCAGGUAGGGGAGAUCGGAAUUCCCGGUGUAGCGGUGAAAUGCGCAGAUAUCUGGAGGAAUACCGGUGGCGAAGGCGGCAUCCUGGACCGACAUUGACGCUGAUGAGCGAAAGCUAGGGGAGCAAACGGG